rnacentral:rRNA from 1 species
AGAUCUCGCCUACGGAGGCAGCAUAGGGAAUUUUCGUCAAUGGCGCAAGCCUGAACGAGCGAUGCCGCGUGAGUGAAGAAGGCCUUCGGGUCGUAAAGCUCUGUUGCGGGGAAAAAAGGCAGCAUCAGGAAAUGGGUGCUGACUGAUGGUGCCCCGCCAGAAAGUCACGGCUAACUACGUGCC